rnacentral:rRNA from 1 species
UACGUAGGGUGCAAGCGUUGUCCGGAUUUAUUGGGCGUAAAGAGCUCGUAGGCGGUCUGUCGCGUCGGAUGUGAAAACCCAGGGCUCAACCCUGGGCCUGCAUUCGAUACGGGCAGACUAGAGUCCGGAAGAGGAGAGUGGAAUUCCUGGUGUAGCGGUGAAAUGCGCAGAUAUCAGGAAGAACACCCGUGGCUAAGGCGGCUCUCUAGUACGGUACUGACGCUGAGACGCGAAAGCGUGGGGAGCGAACAGG